rfam:Lactobacillus sp. WiKim39, complete genome.
UUUGGGGUAGGAUUCAAAGCGUAAAGUGCUGGUGGAACGGAAUGUGAACACCGGACGAAAAGCUAUUGCUUGCGAUUUUGUUUCCGCAUUCGUCACU